GGCGGGUGGAAUCGAUGCCCA
rnacentral:siRNA from 1 species